rnacentral:rRNA from 1 species
GACAGAGGGUGCAAGCGUUGUUCGGAAUCAUUGGGCGUAAAGGGCGCGUAGGCGGUUUUACAAGUCGAAUGUGAAAGCCCAGGGCUCAACCUUGGAAGUGCAUCCGAAACUGCGAAACUUGAAUCCUGGAGAGGGUGGUGGAAUUCCCAGUGUAGAGGUGAAAUUCGUAGAUAUUGGGAGGAACACCGGUGGCGAAGGCGACCACCUGGACAGAGAUUGACGCUGAGGCGCGAGAGCGUGGGGAGCAAACAGG